rnacentral:rRNA from 1 species
CCUACGGGAGGCAGCAGUGAGGAAUAUUGGUCAAUGGACGAGAGUCUGAACCAGCCAAGUAGCGUGAAGGAUGACUGCCCUAUGGGUUGUAAACUUCUUUUAUAUGGGAAUAAAAUGUUCCACGUGUGGGAUUUUGUAUGUACCAUAUGAAUAAGGAUCGGCUAACUCCGUGCCAGCAGCCGCGGUAAUCCGGAGGAUCCGAGCGUUAUCCGGAUUUAUUGGGUUUAAGGGGUGCGUAGGCGGACUGUUAAGUCAGCGGUAAAAGCCCGGGGCUAAACCCAGGCGAGCAGUUGAAACUGGCUGUCUUGAGAAGACGAGAGGUGUGCGGAAUGCGCAGUGUAGCGGUGAAAUGCUUAGAUAUUGCGAAGAACUCCGAUUGCGAAGGCAGCAUACCGGAGGCGAUCUGACGCUGAGGCACGAAAGCGUGGGUAUCGAACAGGAUUAGAUACCCGUGUAGUC